rnacentral:rRNA from 1 species
AAACCUAUAAGAAUUUUUAGAUAAUAUGACCCCGAAUUAGUAAGAUCAAAAAAGUUAUAUGGUUUUGUAAUUAGGUUAAAUAUGUAGCAUAAUAUAAUUUUAAUAACUUUUUAGAGGAGAUAUUCCAACAGUUAUUAUGAUAGCUGGAUUAAGGGGAAAAGUAUUAAGUACUUAAGACAAUUAUAAAGUGAUAAGAUUUUAUAAUGGAAAUAAGUUGUUUUUAGGUUGACUAGGGUUAAUCCCCUAAAAGUUGGUUAUUCUAACAUAUUUUGAAUGUAGCUUUUUAAAAUUACCUUUAAACUAAAGUUAACUAGAAACUUAAGUUUAUAAUGUUUAAAUUAGUAUUUUGUAUAAAUUUAAUUAAGGAACUCGGCAAAUAUUAUAUUCGACUGUUUAACAAAAACAUAGUCCGUUGUUAUUUAUAAUGGAUAUAUACUGCCCGGUGAUGUAAUUAAACGGCCGCAGUACCAUGACUGUGCGAAGGUAGCAUAAUAAUUUGGCCUUUAAAUGGGGUCUAGAAUGAAAGGAUUUACGAAUAGCAGCUGUCUCUAUCAAAUUAAAAAAAACUUAUUUAAAAGGUGCAAAUACCUUUACUUUAAUAUAAUAGACGAGAAGACCCUUAGAAUUUAAAUUAAAAUAAAUGUUAUAUUUAUUUCGAUUUUGUUGGGGCAACAAAGCAGCAAAUAUUUAAUCUGCUUAUUCGACACUAGGUAUGCCGACUAUUAGUAGGGAUAUAUAAAUUACCUUAGGGAUAACAGCAUAAUUUAAUAAAGAUUGUGACCUCGAUGUUGGAUUAGGGCCAUAGCAAUUUAACCAAUUGAUGUGUUAGUUCUGUUCGAACUUUAUUACCUACAUGAUCUGAGUUCA